CACGGUUUACAUGGUUACCUUGCAGUUGAGUAUUAACUGUAAUGUUCAAUAUUCUUUGUAUAGGUAACUAACCGGUACUUUCAUAGGAUUUUGCUAUCCCUGAAUGAGGUUUGUAACCUUUAUUUUUCUUAUGUAUAUAUAUAUAUAUAUAUAUAUAUAUGUAUGUGUGUGUGU